CCUACGGGUGGCAGCAGUGGGGAAUAUUGGACAAUGGGCGAAAGCCUGAUCCAGCCAUGCCGCGUGUGUGAAGAAGGCCUUCGGGUUGUAAAGCACUUUCAGUGGGGAAGAAAGCCUUGGGGCUAAUACCCUCGAGGAAGGACAUCACCCACAGAAGAAGCACCGGCUAACUCCGUGCCAGCAGCCGCGGUAAUACGGAGGGGGCGAGCGUUAAUCGGAAUUACUGGGCGUAAAGCGCGCGUAGGCGGUCUGAUAAGCCGGUUGUGUAAGCCCCGGGCUCAACCUGGGAACGGCAUCCGGAACUGUCAGGCUAGAGUGCAGGAGAGGAAGGUAGAAUUCCCGGUGUAGCGGUGAAAUGCGUAGAGAUCGGGAGGAAUACCAGUGGCGAAGGCGGCCUUCUGGACUGACACUGACGCUGAGGUGCGAAAGCGUGGGUAGCAAACAGGAUUAGAUACCCGUGUAGUC
rnacentral:rRNA from 1 species